GGCGGCGGAAGAUAACCCAAAAGGGAUUCCUUCAGUAAUGGCGAAUGAACGGGGAAAAGCUCAGCAAAGAAAUCAGGGACCCCGUCCUUGAGUUGUGGACUUGAGAGGUAUUGCCAAUGGUGGCGCAGGUGCGGGCCUCUUGGAAAAGGGCACCACAGAGGGUGUGAGUCCUGUUUGUCAUCUGUAGUCCGCCAUGUACGGCGUGCCUCCUCAGAGUCACGUUCCUUGGAAUUGGAGCGCGAAGGUGGUGGUGGCUUUCAUCUCAAGCUAAAUAUGGGUUCGAGACCGAUAGCAAACAAGUACCAUGAGGGAAAAUUGAAAAGAGCUUUGGAAAGAGAGUUAAAAGUGCCCGAACUUGCUGAUAGGGAAGCGAAGGGAGCUGACGUUGCUUGGUGACAUUUUCCGCGCAAGUGUAGGAUGGGUUCUGAUUGCGAUGUGCGUAGUGCUUCUUGCCGUGCGUGUCGAUGCCAAGCAACAAGUGGGGAGAGCACCAGGGAUAUGAUUGUUCUGUCCCCGGGUGGACGAAGGUGCCUGGUCGCAUCCAUUUGUGGGCUGAAACAAGUGGUGGCUGGUUGCAGCGCUCCAUAACUGCCAGGCAGUUGGGGUGUAGCCCUGAUACGCAGACGAGGACAAAGUGCUUCUGUUCGACCCGUCUUGAAACACGGACCAAGGAGUCUGACACUCAUGCAAGCUCGCGGGUGGGUAAACUUGUUCGCGUAAUUAAGGUGUCUGUUGUGAUUUUUGCACCAACGCCCGACCAAUCAAUUGAGAGAGGUUUGAGUGUGAGCAUUUCUGUCAGGACCCGAAAGAUGGUGAACUAUGCUUGAGAAGGGUAAGUUCAGGGGAAACUCUGAUUGAGGCUCGUAGCGAUACUGACGUGCAAAUCGUUCGUCAUACUUGGGUAUAGGGGCGAA
rnacentral:rRNA from 1 species